rnacentral:misc_RNA from 1 species
GCAAACUUGGUCAUUUAGAGGAAGUAAAAGUCGUAACAAGGUUUCCGUAGGUGAGUAAAUAUUAGUAGUGUUUCCGCUGUAGAUGUGAAUGAAGGUGCUAACUUGUUUUAGGUGAACCUGCGGAAGGAUCAUUACCGAGUGUGGCCCCUUUUUACUAAGGGGUACCUCCCGUCCUUUGCAGGCCCUUUUGGGGCUUUUUUGACUUUGCUUCGGUGGGGUUACCCCGCCGGAACGCCCUCAAGAAAAUCUUUUUAAAACCGUUCAGUCCGAGGUGUCUUUUACAAAUACAAACAAAACUUUCAACAACGGAUCUCUUGGUUCUGGCAUCGAUGAAGAACGCAGC